AACGCGAAGAACCUUACCAAGGCUUGACAUCCAANUAGUCCCGUAGAGAUAUGGGAGUGCCCUUCGGGGAAAGUUGAGACAGGUGGUGCAUGGUUGUCGUCAGCUCGUGUCGUGAGAUGUUGGGUUAAGUCCCGCAACGAGCGCAACCCCUAUAUUUAGUUGCUAACAGGUAAAGCUGAGAACUCUAGAUAGACUGCCGGUGACAAACCGGAGGAAGGUGGGGAUGACGUCAAAUCAUCAUGCCCCUUAUGUCUUGGGCUACACACGUGCUACAAUGGACGGUACAGACGGAAGCGAAGCCGCGAGGUGAAGCAAAUCCGAGAAAGCCGUUCUCAGUUCGGAUUGCAGGCUGCAACUCGCCUGCAUGAAGUCGGAAUCGCUAGUAAUCGCAGGUCAGCACACUGCGGUGAAUACGUUCCCGGGCCUUGUACACACCG
rnacentral:rRNA from 1 species